UACAGAGGUGGCAAGCGUUGUUCGGAAUUACUGGGCGUAAAGGGCGCGUAGGCGGUCUGGCAAGUCCCGUGUGAAAUCCCUCGGCUCAACUGAGGAACUGCACGGGAAACUGCUUGGCUUGAGUUCGGGAGAGGGAAGCGGAAUUCCGGGUGUAGCGGUGAAAUGCGUAGAUAUCCGGAGGAACACCGGUGGCGAAGGCGGCUUCCUGGACCGACACUGACGCUGAGGCGCGAAAGCUAGGGGAGCAAACGGG
rnacentral:rRNA from 1 species